AUUGAGCAGUGUACACGUGGUUCUCUCUUCAUGUGUAGCAUUGUUCAAGGGUGCAAGAGAACGUAUUUGUCUCAGAGAGACUUACAGGCUCAUAUCAACCACCGCCAUAUGAGAGCUGGAAAACCUGUUACCCGAGCUUCACUUGAAAAUGUUCAUCCUCCUAUUGCCCCACCACCAGCUGAAAUCCCUGAUCGUUUUAUAAUGCCGCCAGACAAGCACCAUAGUAUGAGCCAUAUUCCGCCAAAGCAGCACAUCAUGAUGCCACCACCUCCUUUGCAACAUGUUUCACAUGAGCACUAUAAUCAGCCACAUGAGGAUAUUCGUGCACCUCCAGCAGAAUUGCCCAUGGCUCCACCUCCACCUCGUUCGGUCAGUCAGGAAACCUUUCGUAUUUCAACAAGAAAACACAGCAAUUUAAUAACUGUCCCUAUUCAGGAUGACUCAAGUUCAGGUGCUAGAGAACCACCACCUCCUGCCCCAGCACCUGCUCACCAUCAUCCUGAAUAUCAGGGUCAACCAGUGGUGUCGCACCCUCAUCAUAUUAUGCCUCCACAGCAACAUUAUGCACCACCCCCACCUCCUCCACCACCAAUAAGCCAUCCAAUGCCACAUCCUCCCCAGGCUGCAGGCACUCCUCACUUGGUUUAUAGCCAAGCUCCUCCUCCUCCAAUGACCUCUGCUCCACCACCAAUAACCCCUCCCCCUGGACAUAUCAUUGCCCAGAUGCCACCUUAUAUGAAUCAUCCUCCUCCAGGACCUCCCCCACCUCAACAUGGUGGUCCACCUGUUACUGCACCCCCUCCUCAUCAUUAUAAUCCUAACUCUCUACCCCAGUUCACUGAAGAUCAAGGAACUCUGAGCCCUCCAUUUACACAACCAGGGGGAAUGAGUCCUGGUAUAUGGCCUGCACCAAGAGGGCCACCACCACCUCCACGAAUGCAGGGUCCACCUUCUCAAACCCCACUUCCUGGACCACAUCAUCCAGAUCAGACAAGAUAUAGACCAUAUUAUCAAUGAUAAGAGUAUUUUGAACUGAAGAUAUGAAAAAAACUUAUGUGUAGUCAAUCUUUUAAUUAAGCUUUGACUGUUCUGGGAAGGAAAAACACCUCUUAUUGAGGUGGCUAUGAAACACUUAGGGUCUUAUAAAAUGGUUUUAAAUCUUCAUCUUAGGAUUGAUUUCAAAUACUAUACUGUAGUGCAGAUAAGUGGCUCAGUGGAGCACAGCUAUAUUUUAACAGCUUUGUUCCCCUCGUGUGGUAAAUUGACCCACAGGUGACCAUUUGUAAAAAAAUUGAAAAUUUUUAUUCCACUUUGAAAGGUGUUGCUUUUGUUAAACCCAGUUUCGUUUUUCUUGUGAUACAUUUUGUUAACCUGUGUAAAAGGAUUAAAUUUCAAUAUGGUUGUAAAAAU